rnacentral:lncRNA from 1 species
AAAGAACUUUGUGGAGAUGGGCAAACUGGGUGUCAGCUAAAAUAACCAAAUAUAGAACAUCAAAAUGCACGCGAUCCAAAUAAUACUGUAAUGCUCUCUCAAGGGCUCUCACAUCCAACAGUGCCAUGUAAAUCCUAUUUUGUCAAAUUUAAAGUGGAUUUUUGACUAGAAGGAUUGCAGCAAAUACUUCUUUAAUUUUUUUUUUUUUUUUUUUUUUUUUAAGAGCAAACAUUAACAAUAAACCUCAAUAACUCUGGGAAAAGAUGUUGCUGCUUUCAAGCUGUUUGAUUUCUGCAUAUGCACAUUAACUGAUGCAGGGGGACUUAAGGUGAAACUCCUGUGGCAGUUCUGGGAGUUACGUGUGACCGGCUGCUUUGUGGUGGGACUACAACCAGGAGGGUUUAAGUUCUUCAAAUAGUGACAUUUUCAUGGGAAGAAAAAUACCUGAACAGAAGACCACCUCAAAGGGAAAUUGUUCAGACUAGUUCCACUUCACAUUGCAAGCCUGAAGAAAAUCUUUUUCCAUAAAGACAGCAUAAGUCGUGCUCCCUACUUAUGGAUGAGAUCCAGAAGGAAUGCAGGCAAGAAGGCUGAUGCAAGCCCUGAAGUGACCUGACAGUUUGCUGGCAAGUUUGUGAGAGUGACAGAAGCACCACUGCUCAUCACAUGAAUUCCUCCAGACACCCGGGCUCCAGCCUCCCUCCUAAGGCUUCAAACCUAAAGGAAGAAAGAGCAUCAUUUGGUACAACACAGCUCAAGAAGGUGGGUGUCUUCAUUUUUUAGUUCCUGUUUAUGUGAACAACACCGUAAGGAGACAAUAAAAAAGGAGCACUAAGGUAUGUGAGAAGAGGAGGAUAACAAUUAAAAACCAAUUUUGGGAUAAGCCUACACUUAUCUUUUAGUUGCAACUGUUCAUUGAAUAUAUUAGAAAGAUACAGGGUGAAGAGUGUCUAUUUUGUCAGGAAGUUUUACUCAGCCUCCUUCCUAAUGAAUUCAUGUGGGCUUUCUAUUGUUAUUCUGAGUCUCAGUUCAGAUGGAGAGACAAGGUUCAUU